AACGACCCAAAAACCUUCAAAAAUUAAUGAGAAGCACCCUAGAACUCAAGAAUCCAUUCGGUUUCCGGCCACUUAUCUUCGGCGGUGGCUUCCUCGGUCGUCCACGAUGUUGGAAAACUGAACACCGGUAAGUUCCUUCCCUCUUCUUUCCCUUUUUUAUAUUUUUUUGCAAGUUUUUUUUUGUUAAAAAUAUUUGUAAAAUAGAUAAAAACGAACGAAUAGAAAGAAGAUAAAAAUAAAUAAAUAAAUAAAAAUAAGGACAAACACCUUUUGAACUUGUUUUCUCCUUUUGAUUUCUCCCAAAAAUCUCUGUAAUACAACCCCCUCUAAUACAAAGAAAAAAUACAAAGAAUUUUAUUUUUUGGUGUUUUUCUUUACUGUCCUUUUUUUUGUCUUCUUUUGCAGGUAUAGAGUGGUGGAGGCAAGUGGGUGUGCUGGUAGCAGACAACUGGUAGUGGCGUAGGUGGCCAAGGUGGGGUGACGGCUAGGGUUCAUCACCACUUUUCUUUGCUGAAAAUUGCUUAGGUUUGGGUAGUUCUAAUUUGGGCUGGUUUUGGGUAUUGGGUUUGGGUAGGUUUAGUUAUUGUAAUUGGGUAGUUUUGAUUUUUGGGCUGUUUAACAUUGUAAAUGGACUUGGAAUUUGGUUAUGUGGAUUUUAUUUUUUGCUUGUUUGCUUAGGCCAAAAAUUGGCCAUUAUAGCUGCCCCUCUUUGCUCAUUGUCGUGUAAUGAGAAUGGAGCAAAGACUCCAAAAUGGCCAAUUUUUCUUAGUCUCGUCGAAUUUUAAUUUCUUGGUACUUGAUCUUCUUUAAAUGGCCUCUUGACGGCUUCAAUUUGCUUCACUGCAACUCAGGAAGACGAUAUCUGCUAUCUUUGAUCUGCCCCCCGUCUACUACAGAGACGCCAAAUCUAUUAUCUUCGAUCUGCUCCCCGUCUAAUACAGAGAUGCCAAAUUUGCUUCUUUAAUCUGCUCAUUGCAAACUCAUAACUGUUAUGUUGAUAUCUUCGAUCUGCUCUCUGUCGAACACAGAAACGCCAAAUCUGCUUCUUCGAUUUGUUCCCUGACAAUACAGAGAUGCCAAAUCAUCUUAGAUUUGUUUUAACGUAAGCACGUGAAAGCCAAAUCAACUAUGAUUCGAUUUGAUCCUUGUAAGCAUAAGGAUGCCAAACCAUCUUGGAUCCGCUUCAGCAUAAACAUCCGAAGGCGAGAUCUGCUAUGUGUCUGCUCUCCAUCAAAGUGAAGAUGCCAAACUUUGAUUCGUCCUCUGACAAUACAGAGACGAAAAAUCAUCUUAUAUUUGCUUCAUCGAAAACACGUGAAAGCCAAAUCAGCUAUAUCUUCGAUCUGUUCCCUGCCGAAUACAGAGAGAUAAGAUCUAUCAUCUUGGAUCUGCUUCUGCGUAAACAUCUGAAGGUAAGAUCUGCUAUGUGUCUGCCUUCCAUCAAAGUGGAAAUGCCAGACUUCGAUUUGUUCUCUGACAAUACAGAGACGACAAAUCAUCUUAGAUUUGCUUCAUCGAAAACACGUGAAAGCCAAAUCAGCUAUAUCUUCGAUCUGCUCCCUGCCGAAUACAGAGAGAUAAGAUCUGUCAUCUUGGAUCUACUUCAGCGUAAACAUCUGAAGGUAAGAUCUGCUAUGUGUCUGCCUUCCAUCAAAGUAGAAAUGCCAGACUUCGAUUUGUUCUCUGACAAUACAGAGACGACAAAUCAUCUUAGAUUUGCUUCAUCAUAAACACAUGAAAGCCAAAUCAGCUAUAUCUUCGAUUUGCUCCCUGCCGAAUACAGAGAGAUAAGAUCUGUCAUAUUGGAUCUGCUUCAGCGUAAACAUCUGAAGGUAAGAUCUGCUAUGUGUCUGCCUUCCAUCAAAGUGGAAAUGCCAGACUUCGAUUUGUUCUCUGACAAUACAGAGACGACAAAUCAUCUUAUAUUUGCUUCAUCGUAAACACGUGAAAGCCAAAUCAGUUAUAUCUUCGAUCUGCUCCCUGCCGAAUACAGAGAGAUAAGAUCUGUCAUCUUGGAUCUGCUUCAGCGUAAACAUCUGAAGGUAAGAUCUGCUAUGUGUCUGCCUUCCAUCAAAGUGGAAAUGCCAGACUUCGAUUUGUUCUCUGAAAAUAUAGAGACGACAAAUCAUCUUAGAUUUGUUUCAACGUAAACACAUGAAAGCCAAAUCAGCUAUGUCUUCGAUUUGUUCCUUGUAAACACAAGGAUGCAAAACUAUCUUGGAUCCGCUUCAGCAUAAACAUCUGAAGGUUAGAUCUGCUAUGUGUCUGCUCUCCAUCAAAGUGAAGAUGCCAAACUUCGAUUCGUUCUCUGACAAUACAGAUAUGACAAAUCAUCUUAGAUUUACUUCAUCGUAAACACGUGAAAGCCAAAUCAACUAUAUCUUCGAUAUGCUCCUCGCCGAAUACAGAGAGAUAAGAUCUGUGAUGAAGGUCAGAUCUGCUAUGCCGUAGCCUAUUACCCUACUGUUUUGGGUUUUAAAGUGCGCCGUCUCCGAUAACCUGUAAAAAUGAUUAUGCUUGAUAAUUUAGAAUGCUAUGCUCGAAGUGAGUCAAAUGUUCCUAAUUAAACAUGUUAUGAUGCAAAAUGUCAUGAAUAUGACCUCUAUCCUAGACGUCAUCAUUCAUUCUUUCAUUUUCCUUUCUUUUCUCAAAGCUUCAUUCACGCUCAGCCUGUAGGCCUGUACCCUUCCUCUAAUGCUACGAUCCACUGAGGAUGUUUGUAAAACAAUCUUUUCUUAAAAUUGAAUCAUUGAUUUUGUUCAUUUUCCCUUUAGACUAGACGAAAGAAAUUCCUCGAGUUCCUUCAUCCUUUACUUACGUGAAUUUCUCGAACAAUUAUCCUAUUUUAGUUUCUUGUAUUGUCUAGAAAUUUCAGAGUAAUACGCAAAACUUCGUUUGUAAACAUAUUUAGUUCAUCUAUCUUUAUUUCAAUGCAACAUGGAAGAUGAAUAAAUCUUUAAGAAUAAUUGGAUUUGAAUGAAUUAAGAAGAAAGAAUAUAAAGGAAAUUAAUCUGAAGCCUAUCUUUAGGAAGGAGUAGAAUCUAAAGAUAAAAAACAAGAUAGAAGUUAGAUCCUCUAGAUAUCACCGCUUGAGUGCCUAUACACCAGCUCUAUGAAGUCUUUCUUGAGUUUAAAAUGUGUUUAAAAGAUCUCAAGUGCUCUGUUGAUGCCCCAGUUUGUAGCAUUCUUUGCUCUUUGUAACAAGAUCACUGUGUACUCUUCAAAAUUUGAGCUGCUCUUUUAGGUUUUCAACUCAAAACCCUUUUGGUCACAAGGUGCCCUUUGCGGGUUUUCACCUUGGCCUCUCCGUUUUUAAUUUUUUUUUCAAGGCGCCCUUUACGGGUUUUCACCUUAGAUUCUCUUCUUCUUUAGACAAAGUAUUUUUUUAACUAAGUUCGAGUUCACUGGAUUAGGUAAACUUUUCCCAUCCAUUUCUGCUACGGCCCUUCCCAAUUCGGCAUCCAUUUUCCUCUAAAAUCCUUUUGAAUAGGAAGGAUCUUUUUCAAAACAAGGUCUCCCUCAUGGAAUUCUCUUGGUCGAACUUUCUUGUCAUAAGCUCGCAUCAUUCGCUUCUGAUACAUCUGACCAUGUCGAAUGACUUUUAGCCUCUUUUCUUCAAUCAAGUUCAACUGGUCAUACCGGGAUUGAACCCACUCAGCUUAAUCUAACUUUACUUCUGUCAAAAUUCGAAGAAAAGGUAUUUCUACUUCAAUAGGUAAUACUGCUUACAUCCCAUAGACUAACGAGAAUGAAGUUGCCCCAGUAGAGGUUCUGACAGACGUUCGGUAGGCUAAGAGUGCAAAUGGCAACUUCUCAUGCCAAUCUCUAUACGUCUCAGUCAUCUUCCCCACUAUUUUCUUAAUAUUCUUGUUGGCGGCCUCCACUGCCCCAUUCAUUUUUGGACGAUAAGGGGAAGAAUUGUGAUGCUUGAUCUUGAACUGGUCGCAAACCUCUGUUAUCAUUUUGUUGUUUAGGUUCAAUGCAUUGUCGGAUAUGAUCUUCUCAGGCAUUUCAUAUCGACAAAUGAUCUCCUUCUUCAAGAAUCGACUCACAGCUGACUUAGUAACAUUUGCAUAAGAAGCAGCAUCUACCCAUUUUGUGAAGUAGUCAAUUACUACAAAGAUAAACUGAUGUCCAUUCAAAGAUCUCGGUGAUAUUGGUCCAAUAACAUCCAUGCCCCACAUGGAAAAGGGCCAUGGAGAAGUCAUAAUAUGCAAAUGUGAAGGUGGUACAUGAAUUUUAUCCCCAUAAAUCUGGCACUUAUGGCAUUUCUUGGUGUAACUGAUGCAAUCCCCUUCCAUAGUGGCCCAAUAAUAGCCAAACCUCAUGAUUUGCCUUGCCAUCGUGAACCCAUUUGCAUGCGUCCCGCAUACACCUUCGUGAACUUCUUCUAGAAUUAACUUAGCUUCCACAGCAUCGACACAUCUCAAAAAUACUUGGUCUUUUCGUCUUUUGUACAGGAUAUCUCCGUCUAAAACAUAGUCGCAAGCUAACCUCCUCAAGGUUCGUUUGUCAUUUUCACUGGCCUGUUCAGGGUAUUUACGAUCUCUCACGUAUCGCAAUAUAUCUUGAUACCAGGGGUUAUUGACAUUUCUCUCAAUGUUACAACAAUGAGCUGGAGCCUCGUAAACACUCAUUUGAAUUGGCUUCAUUUCUUCUUCUUUAUUUGCCUUGAUCAUUGAGGCCAAGGUUGCUAAAGCAUCUGUCAUCUGAUUUUUGUCUCGUAGGAGAUAAUUGAAGGUGAUGCUAUCAAAUUCCUCAAGUAACCCUAAAACUACCUUUUGAUAAUUAAUCAAUUUAGGGUCCCUUGUCUCCCAUUCACCUCUAAGCUGAUAAACAACCAACGCCGAAUCCCCAUAUACUUCUAGAGUUUUUAUACCUCGCUCUAUAGCUGCUUGAAGUCCCAUGAUGCAUGCUUCAUAUUCAGUCAUAUUGUUUGUGCAAUUAAAGUCCAACUUGCACAUAAAAGGAUAAUGAUCGCCAUUCGGAGAUACCAAGACUGCCCCAAUUCCAUUUCCGACUGCAUUAGAAGCCCCAUCAAAAUUGAGCCUCCAAGAAGAAUUUUCAGUCAUUGCUAUACACAUCAACUCCUCAUUUGAAAAAUCGAAGUUUAGUGGCUCAUAAUCCUCUAGAGCCCUACUAGCCAAGAAGUCCGCUACCGCACUUCCUUUUAUAGCCUUCUAACUUAUGUAGACUAUAUCAAACUUCGAAAGUAAAAUUUGCCAUCUCGCGAUUCUCCCAUUUAGAGCUAUUGACUCCAUCAUGUAUUUCAACGGAUCAAGUUUUGAGAUGAGCCGAGUGGUAUGGUAUAGCAUGUACUGUCUUAAUCUCCGAGUUAUCCAAAUCAGCGCACAACACAACUUUUCGAUUGGUGAAUAUCUCGUCUCACAGUCAGUGAACUUCUUACUGAGAUAAUAAAUUGCCUUAUCCUUUUUCCCUGACUCAUCAUGCUGGCCAAGCACACAUCCCAUAGAAUUACUGAACACUGAUAAGUAUAGUAUUAAUGGUUUAUCUGGGCUGGGUGGAGACAAUACCGGAGCAUUCAACAAAUACUGCUUGACCUUUUUAAAAGCACUCUGGCAUUCCCCAUCCCAAAUACCUUGAUUGUGCUUUCUGAGGAGGCGAAAGAUAGGAUCACAUUUCUCGGUUAGUUGUGAAAUGAACCGAGCAAUGUAAUUCAACCUUCCUAGGAAUCCUCGAACUUCUUUCUGAGUACGUGGUGGAGGUAAUUCUCGUAUGGCUUUGACCUUGUCUGAGUCGACUUCAAUUCCUUUUUCACUGACUACGAAGCCUAACAACUUUCCGGAUCUGGCUCCAAAGGUACACUUUGCUGGAUUGAGCUUCAGUUGAAAUUUUCUCAACCUUACAAACAAUCUCCUCAAGACCUCAAUAUGCUCUUUUUCCGUACGCGCCUUGGCAAUCAUAUCAUCAAUAUAUACCUUGAUAUCCUUAUGCAUCAUGUCGUGGAACAAGUUCACCAUGGCCCUUUGGUACGUUGCCCCUGCGUUUUUUAGUCCAAAUGGCAUUACUUUGUAGCAAAAGGUACCCCACAAUGUUAUAAAAAUGGUUUUAUUCAUGUCCUUUGGAUGCAUCUUUAUCUGGUUGUAUCCUGAGAAACCAUCCAUAAAGGAGAACAAUGAAUAUCCCGCUGUGUUAUCUACUAAAGUGUCAAUGUGGGGUAAAGAAAAAUUAUCUUUUGGGCUUGCUUUGUUCAAAUCUCUGUAAUCAACACACAUUCGUAAUUUUCCAUCCUUCUUGGGGACUGGCACAAUGUUAGCUACCCAUUCGGAGUACUUCACUUCUUGCAAGAAUCCUGCAUCAAACUGCUUCUUGACUUCAUCCUUUAUCUUUAAAACGAUAUCUGGCCUCAUUUUUCGCAACUUCUGUUGGACUGGCUUACAAUCUUGUCUUAUCGGAAGACGAUGUACCACAAUGUCAGUACUCAAUCCAGGCAUAUCCUGAUAUAACCAGGCGAAGAUAUCCUUGAACUCUCGAAGCAACUCAAUCAGACCAUGCCUUGUGUCCACACCAAUUAGGGUUCCGAUUUUCAACUCCUUCCCUUCCUCUAGGGCUAUAUUCUCUAUUGCCUCUUUCUCAUGUGGCAUGAUUUGUUUCUCCUCCUGCUUAACCAUUCUUAAUAGAUCAAGAGAUACGUCACAAUCCUGAACAUCUUCAAAAUCUUGAGGUUCCUUUAAACACAUGUCUUGCUCGCCAGAGAAAUUAGGAGCUGUAGUAUCAGCGCUCAUAUCAUUGAUAUCUAGGGACCUGUGGGGGUAUAAAAGAAUAUACAAAGAAUGAAUGAAUCAAAGAAUGAUUGUUUAUGUGCUAUGAAUAAAAGAAUAAGAAUUGCUAGAAUUUGAAGGAAUAUUGGUUGAUAAAAAUAGAACGAUACUCGUUUAAAUUGAUAAAAAGUUAUGUUUUAUUUAAAUAAUUAUAGAUGAACAUAAGCCUAUUUUACGAAUAUAAUCUUACUACUCCUAGGCCCUAGAGUAACAGACAUGUUUUGAGAAUUACUCUGAAAAAUUCCUAAAGACUACAGGAAGGUCUUCCGCAGUCCAAUUAUUCAGAGAGCUCCCCGGUUCGUAAGGGCGAAUGCCCUCGAGGCUUCCUUACUCCAAUCCUUCAUUGUGUACAGCAUUAACUUGAUGACUUUCCUUUAUCAGCAGUCCUCCUGAUUUGAAAGAUUUGGAUAUAGGUGGGAAUGUCAUCGGUUCCCACUCCACUUCUCUUCCAUUCAAACGCGCAUUUCUUCUCGCUUGGCGCUUCUCUAUUUCAUGCCUCUUGUGCUUGUGGUCUGGCGUGAAGCCCAAGCCAAAGCGGUCCUUCUUCUCAAUCAGUUUUGGGAUUUGAACCUCUCAUUGCAACUGUCUUCCUAACCCUUUUCCCGGCAAUGCUCUUUUCUCUAUCAUCAUUUGUAGGGCCAUCCUCAUGGCUCCAGACAUUUUGGGUACCAGCACUUUGCUUCCCUCCAAAAUAAAGGUGGCAUUAAUGACCUCUAAAGAGCGGAAAGAACAUUUAAUAGCCUCUUCAUUUGCCUCAACAUAAGGGGCCUUGCUGGUAACUGCCGCUAUGAUGUCCUCUUCUGCAUUGAUGGUUAUUAAGCGACCAUCCAUCACUAACUUUAAUUUUUGGUGUAAUGAAAAGGGCACUGCUCCUGCCGAGUGUAUCCAUGGUCUCCCCAAUAAACAAUUGUAGGAGGGCUUGAUAUCCAUCACUAGGAAAUCAACUUCAUACGUAUUCGGCCCAAUCUCCAAAGGGAUGUCGAUUCGCCCCAUUACUUUUCUUUCAGUUCCAUCAAAGGCUCUUACCACACUAUGACACAUUUUCAUAUGCGAACUGUCAAUGGGCAAUCUGUUCAAUGUGGAUAACGGCAGGACGUUCAAAGCAGACCCAUUAUCCACGAGUACACUUGGAAGUGUGUAUCCUUUGCACCGAGUAGUGAUGUGUAGGGCUUUGGUUGACUCUAUGCCCCCAGGUGGAAUUUCAUCAUCGUUAAAAUAAAUGAAAUUGUCAGCACUAAUGUUGUUUACUAACCGGUCUAGCUUGUUAACGGAUAUGUCAUGGGUAACAUAUGUUUCGUUAAGCACCUUUAACAACACAUCUCGAUGCACCUCAGAGCUCAAGAGUAGGGCUAACACUGAUAUACGCGUCGGCUGCUUGCGCAACUGCUCGACCACACUAUACUCGCUAUGUUUUAGGAAUUUUAGAAACUCCUUAGCCUCUUCCUCCUUUACCGGCUCAUUGAUGAGUACUUCAGUUUCCUUUUCCUUUUCAGCCUUGACAUCUUUCGUCUUUGCGGGCUCUACUCUAAUAUUCCCCUCGUCAUAACAUUUCUCACUUCGUGUAUGAGAACCUUCAUUUUGCGUGCCCCUAGACGCGCUAGCUAUACUCUCCCCCUCAGGUAUUGUUAUAUUGCAGUCAUAGCUCCAUGGCACCAUCCUGUCAUCCUUAUAAGGGAAAGGAUUGGGUUUAUGGAUGACUAUUUUGGGCCUAGCCCUCCUCAUUAUUCCCUGGCAAGGAAAUAAUAAUUCUCGGUUGGUUGGUUCUUUGUCGUUCAUUCUCCAGCACACAUAUUUGUCCUUCAUAAGAACUACCCUCAGAAACCUGCAACUCUUUGUUAACUAUAAGGCCUUGUACCAUGACCUUGAACUCUUCACAAUUUUGGAUCAUAUGACCCACCUCCCCAUGGAACUCACAAUGGUUCUCUAUUCCUUUUCCUCCUUUUCUAGAGGUCAGUAUACCUCUCUUCACCAUCUCCUCCCAUAUUACCUUCAUAGGUGUGUUCACCUCAGCAAUGUCUUCCUUGAUUUUUCUUUUCUUUGUUUCAUCAAUGGCAUUCACUCCUUGAUUGCCAUGAUCCGGUAACGGGCUUUCAGUAUCAGGGGUACUAUUAAAUUUCACAACCCCAAUUUUGAUAAGCCUCUCCACGACCUUCUUGAACCUAGUGCAGUUUUCAAUUGAAUGCCCCGAUAUUCCCGCGUGAUAUUCACAUUUAGCAUUUGCAUUAUACCAUUUGGGGUAAGAUGGUUGCAGCGGUUUCAAGUGAAACGAAGCAACGGCAUGUGCAUCGUAUAAGCUUUGAUAAAGCUCACGAUAUGUCACAGGGAUAGGAGUGAAUUGCAUCAUCUCUGAAUUUUGUCUCGUACCCGAUUCCUGUCUUUGAGUAUUUUGUUGCUCACCCGUAGCUGUUUUAAGUUGUCCAACUGUGAUUGCCCUGGAAUUGAAACUAUUCAUGUUGUUUACCUCAUUGUUUUUUCUCCUUGGGGCCGAUCUUUUAGCCACUUCCCCCUCGAUUUUACCGCCUCUCACGGCAUUCUCAAUCAUCUCACCCGCCAUAACUAUAUCCGCGAAACUUUUUAUGGUACUUCCAACCAUAUGUGUGAUGAAUGGCACUUUCAAAGUAUUAAUAAAUAACAUGGUGGUUUCCUUUUCCAACAAUGGUGGUUGUACUUGCAUUGCCACCUCCCUCCAUCGUUGUGCAUAUUGCCUAAAACUCUCAUUAGGUUUUUUCUCCAUGUUUUGAAGUGUGAUCCUAUCUGGCGUUAUAUCAGUCACAUGGUUAUACUAUUGCAUGAAAGCCUGUGCAAGAUCUCUCCAUGAACUGAUUCUUGCAUGGCUCAACUGAUUGUACCACCUAGCCGCCGCUCCUACUAGGCUGUCCUGAAAACAAUGGACCAAUAGUUGAUCGUUGUUCACAUAACCAGUCAUUCUUCUACAAAACAUUGUUAUGUGUGCCUCUAAGAAAGUAGUCCCGUUGUACUUUUCAAACUCUGGCAUCUUAAAUUUAUGAGGAAGCACCAAAUCUGGAACCAAACUUAAGUCUUUGACAUCAAUCCCAUGAUGAUUGCUAACACCUUCUAAAACCCUAAACUUCUCCUCUAACUACCUGCAACGAUCUUCCAAUUGUUUUGAGGAUUUAGUGGCCAUUCUUUCCUUCUCCAUUAAAUCCAGAUCAGGAGUAAUAGGGUUGAUCGAGCUAUCACCCAAAUUAUUUCCCAACCCAGAUGGGAAAUUUAUGGGGAUUCCAGCAUCCACUGGCCCAUAUUGAGGCCUUACUGUGACAGAUGGCCUUCUAGGAGGUACCUCGAUUUGCGGGGGCACAUGAGGCGGAGUAAAACCCGAAGGAAGACUUUCAUUCUCCUAUUCAGUGAUCGCCAUGGGAGCUUUUCCUUUAUCAGUGGCUCUUAGCAGUUGAGCCAUUUCAGCCAUCAUGUUUCUCUGAGCCUCUAGCAUAUGCUCCCUCAUUUCAUUCUGUAUUUUGGCCAACUGCUCUUGCAUUUGAUCUUGCAUAUCUUUUUGUAAUUACUCGAACCUUUGAUCCAUGUUCUUAGUUUUAGUACGAGUGCCGUAGGGGUGUGUGAUUUCCAGAUUUUCUUUUCUACCUCUCUCUUUUCUACCUCUCUGGAAAGUAAACUUUAACUAAUCAGGGUUUUUCUAUAACCUUGAAUGCAAAUGAUGUGAUGAAAUGUUAUGAGAUGCAAAUGCAUGAAUGCAAAAAGAAUAUCGAUUCUGGUUCAACUUCAUUUAGAAAAUUUUAUUUAGAAAUAGAAUAUCUUUACAUAUAAGAGGAUUACAAAUACGAUUUCGCCCUAAGGCCCAAAGCUUUAACUCUAUCUAAUAAAAGGGCUAACUUUCGUCCUACAUCCGACGAUGAUAAAUACAUCAGACUCAAUACGUCAGCUCGAAUUGCCAAAUCUUGCACAUACUCAGCAACCUCUCGAAUCUGAGCUAUGGCUUCACCAAUGACAUGAUCCCUUUUUCUGACCUGUUCUUUAGCCUGAUGUAGCUCUUGUAAUGACUGAAAAUUCACGGGCAUCGAAAAAGUAUAAUAUCGGGCCUCCGUCUUAGUAAAUUGAGUCCGAAAAUAAUUAUUAGAAAUAUUUACGAGACUAGUUGUGUGUUUAAUUAAGUUUUAGAUAGAUGAAUUUAAUCUAAUUAAGAAUAAUUAGGAAAAAGGAUUAAAUUGAAUAAAGGGUAAAUGUUUAAUUAUAGAUCAAAAGAAAAUAAGAGGGACCAAAUGGGCAAUUAAGCCACAUUUGGAAGUUGAGGCGGCAUAACAUUGUAAAAAUCUUAGAUUUUUAUAUUAUUUAUUUAUAUAAAUAUAUAAAUUAAUUAUAAAGGAUAUUAUUAAAUUAAUUAUAUUAUAAAUAUUAUAUUAAGAAAUAAAUUAAAUAAAGACAAAUGUAUGGUGAUAUUUAAUACAAGUGUAUUAAUAAAAUACAUACAUUUGUAAUACUUAUAUUUAAUUACUAAAUAGAUAUUUGUUUUAAUUAUUAUAUUAAAGUAAUUAAAUAAAAGAAAACAAAAGAAAUAAAAUAAAGGAAAUAAAGUAAAGUAAGUUAAAAUAAAAGAAUAAAAGAAACAAAAGAAGAAAGAAACAGAAUAGCCAAAGACGAAACAGAGAAGAAACAGGGGAGAAAGAAGAAAAAAGAAAGAAAAAAGAAAAAUUGAAGGUUUAAGGUUUAAAGCUUUGAUUGGUAAGUCAAAUUAGCCAUUUUCUCUUAAUUCUAAUGUUUUAAAAGCUUUAAAACAAAGUUUUGAUGGAAUUAAGUUGAUAUUUUGUAAGUUCAUAGGUUUUCAAGUAUAGUUUAUGUUGAACAAAAGAGAUGAAUUAGGGAUUAACUUGAAGGAAUUUUAAGUUAGAAUUGAAAAAGGGAUUAAAUUGUAAAAGAAACUAUAAGUUUUAUGUUUUAGGGACUAAAUAGAGGGAAAUUCGAAAUUAGCAAAAUAUGCUGAAAUUUUGAUAGUUAAAUUUUAGUUUGGAUGAAAUUUGAAUAGAAAUAGAGUGUGAAUUGAAUUAGGAAAGUAAGUGAAUUUAGUUAGGAUUAAAUUGAGAAUUAGGAAGAAAUUGAAUAGAAAUUCAAUUAUUUAUUAUAAUUAGUGCUGUAAUUAAUAUUACAAAUUAUUAUUUUCUUAGCUAACAAAGAACCCGAGGCAUCGGCGUCAAAAGGAAAGGAGAAAGUUAUCGAGGACUAAAACGGGAGAAUAACGGUUUGUAUUACUAUAAUUCAAGUUAUUUAUUAUUAAAUGCUAAAUUUUAAUUUAUGUGUCUAGUAAAUGAAAUGUGAGGUAAGUAUAAUAUUAGUAUUAAUUUAUUAUUAGUAUUAUUAUUAUUAUGAGUGGGAAUUAAAUUGAAUAGUUUAUAUGAAUUAAUAUUUGAAUUGUUUGUUGAUUGAAAGCGGGAAAUGAAUUUGAAUCGAAUUGUGAAUGGUAUUAAAUUGUAUGGAAAUGUAUUGAGUUGUGAAAAUGUGUGAAUUUGUGAAAUAAUUAUUGAUUGAAGGUGGAAAAAUGAUUGAAUUGAAAGUGUGAGAAAUUGUGAUUGAAUUGAGAAUAUAUGUGAUUUAAAUACCCUAUUAACUAGUCGGGCUGAGUCGGAUAUAGUUGGCAUGCCAUAGGAUUGGAAGAGUUCAGGGAUACUUCGACCUCGAGUCGAUGAGACACUGGGUGUCACUAUAUUUCUUCGGAUAGAUUCGAUGAGGUAUUGGGUACCAACUUUCUUCGGCUUUGCCGAUGAGACACUGGGUGUCAACUAUUGCUUCGAACUAUCCGAUGAGGCACUGGGUGCCAUUCUGGUGUGUUUGGUUGGAUCCGUGUAUCCGCCAAAGUCCGAGUUUUGUUAAUAGGGUAAAUGAUGAAAUGAUAAACCGAACGAGUUGGUCAAACGAGCUAUUGAAAUGAUAUGAAAAAGUUGAAUUGUGAAUUGAAAUGUGAAAUGAGAUUGAGAAAUGAACCUAAGGUUCGUGAUUUAUUCAAACUCAAAUUGUGGAUAUACGAUAUUGGUUGAUGAAUUGCUAUUGUUGAAAUAUUGAAUUUAAAUUGUAUAUACAAUUUAUGCAUUACAUGUACAUUAUUGUUAUAAUUUGAAUUAUGGUAAUACCACUGAGUAUGAAUUACUCAGCGUACGGUUGUUUCCGUGCGCAGGUCGAUAGAAGUCAAAGGUCCCGGUUCAGCAUCCAGAUUAAUCCCGGCUUCGGCAAAACUUGGUGAUGUAUUUUUCCUUUGGUAAAGGUGGCAUGUACAUAGAUUGUGUAUAAAGAUUAUUAUGUUUUAAUAUAUAAUGGUUAAAAAUGUUAGUAUUAAAAGUUUAUGGAUUUUAAUGAAAGAAGUCUAUCUAUUUUAUCUAAUUAGUACAUUGUUAAAUUUUAAAUUGAUAUUGUGUAGAUUGAGUUUGAUUAAAAGUAUUUAGAAUAGAAAAUGUGAAUGUGAAAUGAAUUGGUUGAAUUGGUGAUAUUUGGGAACUAUAUGGUUUUAAUUUGCAGGGGGUUUUAUGUAAAAAUAAGCAGAAAUGCUGCCGAAAUUUUUAUAAAAAAAAAUGAAGUCAUUUGGUAAACAAACUAAUAAAUUUUAUGAAUUAUUUUAAUAUAUUGGUUAUUUAUUUAAGAAUUGUUGUAAAUCGUUCGAUACGUCCGGUAAUGCCUUGUAAUUCUGUUCCGGCGACGGUUCGGGGUUAAGGGGUGUUACAGCUCUCCCCUCAGAUAAUCCUCUUGCGCCUUGAGCUGCUCAACCCGGAGUUCACCGUCAUGCAAUGCCACCUCCAAAUCUUCAACCUUGCUUCUUAGCUCCUUUAACUCAUUAUGGUUUUGGUGCCAACGCAGGGAUUUUCCAAGUUCCAUUACCUUGGUCUUCAAUCCUUUAUCCUCUUCCUCUAAUGCCAAAUUCUGCACCUGCAUUUCUUGGAAUUUCCUCUCCCAGUACUCGGCUCUAGCCUUUUCUUCUUGGACCUCCUUCUGCCACUGAUUCGAAGAUCCUCCUACUCUCGCCCUCAUCAAGGCUACUUGUGCCCUUUUGUAAUGUUCCCUUAGAUCAUAUCGAUCUUCCUCAAUCUUCAUUUUUUCUUUCCUCUCUUCUCGACUUCCAUCUUUUGAACAUCAACGUCCAAACUCAAGUACAUCUUUUCUUCUUUGAGCUUUGCUAUCCUCCUCUCGAACUCCAAGCUUUGUCUCUCGAACUCCUGUUUCAUAAUUUCUAACUCUGAGGGUCUUACUUGCAAAUAUUCCUCCAUUGGUCGAGCUCCUUCCAUACUUGGCUUAGGGAUAUUAUCAUUAACUCUUCUACCUCUCCAUUCUAUAUAUUCCGGUGUCGUUGCGGGGCUAAUAGCUUUUCCUCUCAAUCGACAAGUCUUCUUCCAAGCACUAGAAACUUCACUAACUCUCCUCUUGUAAUCGGCUCCUCUAUAUACAAACUCACUUUGAGCCAACUCCUGAGUCGCUGGUAUGAACUGUCUCAAUCCAUGCUGCCUCAGUACGAGCAAAGGAGCAUAGCCAAUGGCACUCCAAAUCCCCAAUAGGGGUACCCAAUCAAAACUACCGCAUCGGUAAAGAACCUCACCAGGCAUCAUCCACAGAGCCCUCCACUCGACAUCUUUCGACUGAAGGUUCUGAAGUAACGCUAUCCAAUUCUCUUCUGGAACAUCAACUCUCCUGGUUGAAGCUACUAUAUCUUCUAACGGUGAAUAAUCCUCAAAGUAAACCCGACAAACCACCCUAUCUAUCAACUAGAAAUGACUAUAGAACCAACCCAAAAGCAACUGAGCACACCCUAUAAACCUGCCAGCACCAGCCCUCCUACAUGCACCUAAAGACCUAAAUGUUUCUGCCAAAAUUGCAGGGACAGAAGUGACCUUUUUACUGAGUCGAUGAAAAAGAUCCGUGGUUGCCUCAUCCACAUAUCCCAAAGCCCUAGGGAAGACCAUCAAUCCAUAUAAACUUAGGGCAAAAACAUCUAUCUUCUUUGUCUCAUCAGGGUGUGUCAAAAUCAAAUUUUUCAAAGCGCCCCACGAGAUGCACUUGCACUCACCUUUCUCUUUAAUUCUGGCCGUGACCCACUGCUCGCACAUCCCCAUAAUAAUCAUCAAUUUCUUCCAAAAGGUAGGGACACAAGGAGCUCGGGAAUAGAUCCUAUCAUUCUGAAAUCGGGGACAACGAAAUAAAGCAGUGUACUCUUCCACAGUAGGUACCAUGUCUACCUCUCUAAAAGUAAAGCAACUGUACGUCGGGUUCCAAAACUGAGCAAGGGCUCUAAAUAAGUGCUCGUCUAUCUGAACAUCAAGUAAGUAAGGUAAGUCUCCAUAGUUACCGUAGAAUAAUUGCUUAGUCUCUUUGCCCCACUGAUCCCAAAUUGCCUUAAGCUCUUGGAGAUUAUUCUGCGUGACGCUAAUACGAGUGUAAUCUGACAACUCCGAUAUGUAUCCCUCAGCUAUAUUAUCUCCCUUUUCUAGUUGAGUUUGCUCGGACCAUCUGUGGACGUUAACGUUGCCUUCCACUUUAUCAAGAAGUCUGUUCUCCAUAAUAAAAAUUCCUAACUUAGAAACUGACCGUGAACCGAUAUCUUUGUAAAUGUAAAAUGACAUGCAAGCAAAAGAAAAGAGAUAGUCAGUAUCACAUGAUAUCAAUAAAUUUCAACGAUAACUUAUAAGGGUAAUGUCUAAGUUGGGCUUAUAUGGUCCUUCGACAUGGGGUUGGUCUAAAGUUUGAGGUACCCGAACUAGCAGAUUCCUCGAUCCUCACCCAUUAUAGGCUCAUUUGAAUCGCGUUCAGUUCAGGGGAAUACAUUUUCCUAUGACUACACGGAGAUGAAAAUCUCACGAAACCAUAGGUACGGAUGUACCCCGAAAGUGAUCCACUAUCGUGCACGGAGGCGAAAACCUCACGAAGGCGUAGCUUCUCACUCCCACUUAAGGGUGUGACCACAACGAUCAUGCAAAUGCAAUGCGAUCAAAAUAUAGCAUGCAAUAAUACAAACACAUGUAAUGCAAAGAGGAAUAAAUUUUAAAAUUUUUAAUUUCCGACAUUAAGAUAAGAGAUAAUCAAUUACAUGGCCUGACUCUCUUAUCUUUCCCCAGUGGAGUCGCCAAGCUGUCGAAACCAUUUUCAAAUCGAGUUUUGGAAAAUGAGAAUCGAUUUUAAAAACGAAAACGGGAGUCGCCACCAAUCUUUUUAGGUGUGAUUGGAUCACCUUUAAAACAUUUUGUUUUAAAAUCAUUAGUUUUGGUCCACGAAAUAAAAGAACGGGUUCGGGAGUCAGUUACGUAUGAGGAAGGAUUAGCACCCUCGUAACGCCCAAAAAUUGGUACCUAAUUGAUUAUCAAAUGUCUUUAAUGUCGAAAGAAAAAAAUUUAAGAUGUAGUCCUCUUUAAAAUAUUUUAACUUUGAAAAUUGGGAUUCACUAGCGUCAAAGUAUUGACAUUAAGUUAUCCCUUUUUUGAAAUUCCUAUCUUGAAACAGCAAAAAGCUAUAUCCAAUAAGUUAGGACAUAUUGCUUUGAAAUUCCAAGAUAGUGGCUUGCAUUUAGAAAACCUCUAAAAAAAACUUAGAAGGGUACUUAAUUAUUCGAAUUCAACGAGAAAAGUGGCAACCCAAUAAGUUAGGGCACUGCUUUCUCGAAAUUUCCAAACACCAAGCAUUGCCUUAUUUGCAAAAAAUCUUAUUUCGAGGUAACAAAUAAAUGAAUAAAAUGGAUAAAAAGACAAUAACGAAUAAGCUAGGAAAUAUUCGAGAUUAAAAAAAACUCGUAAUAAAUAAACAAUCAUUAUGUAAGACUAAAGAACGAUAGUAUAGUGAAGAUAAUAAUAAUAUUAAUAGUAAUAAUACAAGUAAAAAUUUUGGAAUGAUGUGUGAAAUUAUAUAUAUGUAUGUGAAUAUAUAGAUAAGUAAACAAUAUAUAUAGUGAGUGAAGAGUAAAAGGUAAAAUAAGUGUAUUUAAAGAGUAAUGGGUAAAAAUAUAAUAAUAAUAUAAUAGUAGUAAUAACGUAAUAGUAUUAGAAAUAUACGAUAUAUAAUAUUGAAGGUAAAUACAUAAUAUAUACAUAUUAGAAAUAAUUAUAAUAUUAGAAACAACUAUUAAUAAUACUACAUAAAUAGAUAUAUAGUAGUAGCAUAUACAUGAUAUAGUUAAAAAAUAUAUAAAGUAAGAUAAUAUGGGAAAAAUAUAUAUAAACGAUAUAAUAUUAGGGCAUAUGCAAAACAAUAAAAAUACAAUAUUAAAAGAUAUAUAUAUAUAUAAAAUGUAUACAUAAUAUAAUAUUAAAAUAUUUACAUGGUAUAUACAUAAUAAUGUAAAAAAAAACUAUUAGUAAUAUUAUAAAUAUAUACAUAUAGUAGUAAUAAUAAUAUAAAGGUAUUUCAUAUAAACAGGUAUGCACGUAAAAAAAAGAGAAAAAUAAUAAUUACAAAAGUAUGAAAUCAAAAUAAUAUGUAGAAACAUGUUUAUUCUAAAAAGAAUAAUUGAAACUUAAUUGAGAGAAAAAACAAAAUCCAAGAGAUAACUUACAAGUAAAACAAAUUAUUGAAACAGAAUUUUGGGCUAAAAUUAAUUGCGUAUAAAUGUCCGAGAUCUAAAAUUAAAAAUGCCCCAAAUCUUAAAAUACCGCGCAAAGGGGGCAAAUUGAAAUAGCACACAGAGUGCAGGGCCAAUUUAAAAAAAUAUAAAAAACUUAAAUAUGGCCCGAUUGAAGGCUAGCACAAAGGAGGGGACCAAUUGCGUAAAUUACCCAAUUAAAGGUAACAUGCAUGGUCCCAAGCAAAUAGCUGAUUCCACUCCCCCCAUGCUACUUUGUUUUAUUAUUAAUCAAAACCACUCCCUUGCUAUUUUGUUUUAUAGUUAAUUAAAACUAUUUCCCCAUACUAUUUUGUUUUAUUGUUAAUUAAAACUACUUCCUCAUACUAUUUUGUUUUAUUAGUAAUUAAAACCAUACUUUAUUUUCUUUUUUUUUAUAAUAAAAAAAACUUAAAAAAAAAACAACAAAAAAAAGAGUUAAAACAUCACCCUACCACCCUACAUUCAUUUUUCAAAAUAGAGAGAAGGCUCUCAACUCUCUCAACCCUUCUCCUCCUCUGGUUAUCGGACCGGCCAUCAACCGUCACGCCGAUCACCGGCCACCGACGGCGGUGCCGCCGUCCACGGUGGCCGAAAAAUCUUUCGAGGCCUUUUUUCGCUUCUCUUCUCGAGUAGAGCCCGAAUUUGGGGUUAAAACGACCCAAAAACCUUCAAAAAUUAAUGAGAAGCACCCUAGAACUCAAGAAUCCAUUCGGUUUCCGGCCACUUAUCUUCGGCGGUGGCUUCCUCGGUCGUCCACGAUGUUAGAAAACUGAACACCGGUAAGUUCCUUCCCUCUUUCCCUUUUUUAUAAUUUUUUUUGCAAGUUUUUUUUGUUAAAAAUAUUUGUAAAAUAGAUAAAACGAACGAAUAGAAAGAAGAUAAAUAAAAAUAAAAAUAAAGACAAACACCUUUUGAACUUGUUUUCUCCUUUUGAUUUCUCUCAAAAAUCUCUGUAAUACAACCCCCUCUAAUACAAUCUCUUCUCUUCAAAAUACAAUCGAUUCCCCCCCUGUCCCUAUGGCACAAGGAACAUAGGGCUUUUAUAUAGCCCAAAAUCUAAAGAAAAAAUAUAAAGAAUUUUAUUUUUUGGUGUUUUUCUUUGCUGUCCUUUUUUUUGUCUUCUUUUGCAGGUAUAGAGUGGUGGAGGGAAGUGGGUGUGCUGGUGGCAGACAACUGGUAGUGGCGUAGGUGGCCAAGGUGGGGUGAUGGCUAGGGUUCAUCACCACUUUUCUUUCUUGAAAAUUGCUUAAGUUUGGGUAAUUCUAAUUUGGGCUGGUUUUGGGUAUUAGGUUUAGGUAGGUUUAAUUAUUGUAAUUGAGUAGUUUUGAUUUUUAGGCGGUUUAAUAUUGUAAAUGGACUUGAAAUUUGGUUAUGU
rnacentral:lncRNA from 1 species